rnacentral:rRNA from 1 species
UAGGGAAUCUUCCACAAUGGACGCAAGUCUGAUGGAGCAACGCCGCGUGAGUGAAGAAGGCUUUCGGGUCGUAAAACUCUGUUGUUGGAGAAGAAUGGUCGGCAGAGUAACUGUUGUCGGCGUGACGGUAUCCAACCAGAAAGCCACGGCUAACUACGUGCCAGCAGCCGCGGUAAUACGUAGGUGGCAAGCGUUAUCCGGAUUUAUUGGGCGUAAAGCGAGCGCAGGCGGUUUUUUAAGUCUGAUGUGAAAGCCCUCGGCUUAACCGAGGAAGUGCAUCGGAAACUGGGAAACUUGAGUGCAGAAGAGGACAGUGGAACUCCAUGUGUAGCGGUGAAAUGCGUAGAUAUAUGGAAGAACACCAGUGGCGAAGGCGGCUGUCUGGUCUGUAACUGACGCUGAGGCUCGAAAGCAUGGGUAGCGAACA